rnacentral:rRNA from 1 species
UAGGGAAUCUUCGACAAUGGACGAAAGUCUGACCGAGCAACGCCGCGUGAGUGAAGAAGGUUUUCGGAUCGUAAAACUCUGUUGGUAGAGAAGAACGUUGGUGAGAGUGGAAAGCUCAUCAAGUGACGGUAACUACCCAGAAAGGGACGGCUAACUACGUGCCAC